rnacentral:lncRNA from 1 species
UGGAAUUCAGAUGAUUUUCACAUAUCCGGUUUAACAUUUGAAAAGAAUUUAAGCUAUAAACUGAAUCUACAAAACAACAACUGAAGUCUGAAUCUUAGCUAGCAGUAAAGCAAUACAGAGGCUCUCGUAUCGAUGUCAGUCAUCUCUUCUAUAGCAGUUCCCCUGCAAACAAUACAAAAUCUUAGUUUUAUUUCAGUAAAAAAUUAAAAUUCAAGCUUUAUCAUACAUUAAUUUAAGUAAAAAUUUCCAAGCUCGAGUCCCUUAAGACUGAACUAAGGAAUAGAUCUGAACAUUGCAUUUACAAUUAAUUUAGCCAAAAUAAGUUUAUUAUUUAUGGAAAAAAAUGCAAGAUCAACAAUAUAAAUGAAGUUUGGUUAAAUUGAUUUCAUGGUUUUGACAAAUGACACUUUUAAUGGCAAAUAUGGUGCUCUUGUGUCUAGUAAGUUAGGUAUUGGCUUUGUUGGGCAUGAAAUAUAUGUGAUUCUACUAUUAAUGUUAUUCAAACUUGGCCAGGCCCAAAAAUCAAUGCAGUAUGUAUGUGAUUUAAUGUCUCUAUCUAUAAAGUUUACGUUAUUAAAAACAUUGCAAUGGUCAGUUAUCGUUUUGCCGGACGGAGCAUAUGCUACACAUUUGAGUUUAUAAAUGCUAGUGGUUUAUGAUUUUUACCUUUUAUGACACCAUUUGGAGGGGAAUAAAUCCGUCUUAUACUUUGACAAUCUUUAAUAUAUAUUAAAUCUUCUAGUAAUUCUAAAUCAAGCUAAAGACAUGGUAAUAUGCAAUGAUUUUUAUACUUUAGGGUAGAAUUCGAAUAUGAGUUGUAGUUAUUGCUUGCAGCUACGUCUUGAAUUCAAUGGUGUAUUUAUUAUAUAUGCUGGCUAGGGGCCUUCUUGAUAACUAAUCCUAAUUCGUGUGGUUGGAGGAACUUCUAUCCUAUAUAGA